AACCCGUCUUCAACCAGUUCAUCCCCUUCCUCUCUUGUCACCUCCAUCUUCAACCAACCAGAGGACACCAUGGCGGCGGAUGGCGUCACGACGGCGGUAACAUCUCAGGCAUACCCGGAAGGAUCUCAGGUCAAACAAACCAAGUCACUCAUCACCGAGUUAUGCCGCCUCUCUACACCCUCGGUUGGGUCUCCGACACCGGCGGAAGCAUCACCGCCAAGGUCCAUGACGAUUCCGUUCCAAAAUCCGACCAACUCAUCAUCAUGUCCCCCUCCGAUUACUCAUAUGGAGAUGAUUAAAGGAAUUCAAGGGCAUGGUUAUUAUGAUGAGCUUGUGGUUCCGAUAAUAGAAAACACUGCUCAUGAAAGGGAGUUGACUUAAGCUCUUGCUGCAGCAAUUGAAGCGUACCCGAAAACAACUGCGGUACUGGUGCGAAACCAUGGUAUUUACAGGUGUUAGGGUUAAAAUACAGAGAGGAAGGGGAUGAACUGGUUGAAGAUUAGGGUUUAAACUUUAAAGGAGGACAAUGAAUGAACAGAUCUACCCCUCACGUGGGAGGCACGUGGGGUAUUUAACGGUAAAAGUUAACACCGUUUACCAUAAAGGACUUGCAAUGCAACGAAAAUAAAGUUAAAGGAUUUGCAGUGCAACUUUUAAACGUUAAGGACGUGCACUGUACUUUUCGUUAAACCUAAAGGACGUGCACUGUCAUUUUGUCAAAAUUAAUUAAAUCGAAUCGGCAUUUAAAGUUCGUAUAAUAUAUAAUUUAGAAAGUUAGUAUAAUAUAUAAUUUAAAAGUAGUUUAAAUUUGAAGGGGUAAGAUAUAUUUGAAAGUUGUGACUUUUUGUAAGGGGUGUGGUAUAUUUAAAAGUGUUAUAAAGGGUUGUGACUUUUUGUAAGAGGUGUGAU